CUUCACCGAGCCGAGCCAGAGCGGGGUGGUCCGGUCCUGGCCGUAGGUGGCCAGCAAAGCCUGUGCCUC
rfam:Amycolatopsis orientalis HCCB10007, complete genome.